rnacentral:misc_RNA from 1 species
AGGGCAUGAAAGGGGGUGCGAAACAGUUCGAGCACACUGUCAUGGCGCUGCAUGCACUCGUUGCUAAACGUUACAAGUUUUUCUAAUCGAGUAUUUUUCGGUUUGAACAAAUUUUCUUAAACAUUUCGUUGAAAGUCGUGAAUCGAAAUUGUCAAAUUUUUUAAGCUGACCCAUAGAUUUCUAAAUUUUGGUCAAAAGUGAGUUUUGUAAAACAAGUCUUAGCUUAUUGGAACUGAGCUAGUGACUGGAGAUUUUGUUGAAUAAUUUUCUAAUUUUUGACGUAAGUGUUAAAGUGGUUAAUCCAAAAAUAAUCAGUGAUAGUUUUGAGAACAAAAAUAGUUUUAUCAGUGUCACUUGUCUCUAAAAUGACGAGCAACUGGAAAUUUUAGCACUGAAAUUAGUCGAAUUUUUCUUAAAACGAGGCAAAAAUUUGACGAAUAACUUUCUAACGGAGAAUAAGAACACUCUUUUUCAAAAAUGUCCUAGCGAAGGUCAAACUGUAAGUAACUUACCCAGUCCAAUCCCUUCACCCAGUCACCUGGAUCCCAAUUCAUUGGUUUGUUAUUUUAUUUAAGUGACAAUGUGCAAAGUACUACACAGGCACAGGUAGAAAAAAAAAGACACGCAGGCGUGAAUCCUAGCUUGGAAGUCCUUAAUCCCAGGGUGAUCCUUGCCCCGCCCGAUCCCUGAGUCUUGUCGAGUUGUUAUUAACCUGGAAAGGCAUUGCAGUUGACUAAAAUAAUUCAUGUUGAAAAGGGGCACAGGUGCAGACAGCUGAAACUGAGCUUCAAAACUUCAAUUCAUCAGGUAAUGUUCGUAUUUGAAAUUCGUGGCGGCUGAACAUUAUUUUACGUUGGCGCCAGCAGAAUAUAUAGACGAGACGGACAGCGGUGGUGGCGGCGAAACGGCAGGGGUACUAUGGGAGCUGGGGAAUGGAGGGCGGAGGAGGGCUACAGGCCACGGACCUCCACCGGCGGCUUAUCCAUAAAACGACAUCUAGAAGAACUAAGAGUUCACGAAGAUUUUUGCAGCCCUUAGAGAAUAAAUGUUCAGCGGAAGUUUCUUCUCUCGAUGACGAGAGAUCGAUUCCCUGGACAACAGCAGGCUUCACUUCCGGACAGCCCACCUGUCUUGGGAUCGGCAAAACACGGAGCAAGCGUCAAUCGACGGUCCAUGACAGCAUUACGUGGCCGUAUCUUAUUCAGGACAAGUUUGUGAGUUUGAAGCAGCAAAGCCAUCGACAAGAGAGUUUGAAAGCCUCGUUUAACAAUCUUAGUAGUGAGGCAAGUGUAGUUGAGAAUGUGGAUCAAGAGAACGAGAGGAUGGAGAGAAGAAGGUUACGAAGGUGCAGAGGCUUCCGACAAUUCACGGAUAUGCUCGUUGGAACGUUUCUACUUGGGGUUGUUUUACUCAUCACACCAGGUCUCUGUCAUCAGGAUGCAGUGCAUAUAACAGCUAUUUUGGGUGAAAGCGUAGUCUUCAAUUGUCAUGUUGAGUUCCCCGGUGAGCAUCCAGUGCCCUAUGUUCUUCAAUGGGAGAAGAAGGUAGGCGACACGGGGCAGGAAAUACCAAUAUAUAUUUGGUACGAGUCGUAUCCAACCCACAGUGGAGAGGGCUAUGAAGGACGAGUCUCUAGGGUCAGUCCAAACUCACCUUACGGAUCCGCAAGUCUCAACCUCACCAAUAUACAAGAAAAUGAUCAAGGAUGGUACGAGUGUAAGGUUGUCUUCCUCAAUAGGUCGCCCAACAGUCCCAAAAAUGGAACUUGGUUUCAUUUGGAUGUUCAUGCACCACCAAGAUUCACGAUGACUCCCGAAGAGAUGAUCUACGUUAAUCUAGGCGAUGCAAUUAUAUUAAAUUGCCAAGCAGAGGGCACACCGACACCGGAAAUAGUUUGGUACAAGGACGCCAAUCCAGUAGCGACUUCAAGUACCAUUGGAAUUUUUAAUGAGGGUACAGAGCUACGGAUUGCAUCAAUAAAAAAUGAUGAUAUUGGUGACUAUACGUGUAUCGCUAGAAAUGGAGAGGGCCAAAUUAGUCACUCUGCUCGUGUAGUAAUUGCUGGAGGAGCAAUAAUAAUAGUUCCGCCGACGAAUCAAACGAAGUUGGAAGGAGAAAAAGCGCAGUUUUCUUGCGAAGCAAAAGCUCUCCCGGGGAACGUAACCGUUCGUUGGUUUCGAGAAGGAGCACCUGUUACAGAGGUAUCUGCAUUAGACACUCGAGUAUCUAUCCGCAUGGAUGGAAGUCUAGUCAUCAAUCCAGUGAGUGCCGACGACUCUGGUUUUUACCUCUGCGAGGUAACUAAUGGAAUCGGGGAACCCCAGAGUGCUACCGCCUAUCUUAAUGUUGAAUAUCCUGCAAAGGUGACUUUUACACCUACAAUCCAAUUUUUACCGUUCCGAUUGGCUGGUGUCGUUCAGUGUUAUAUUAAAGCCAACCCUCCUCUACAAUACGUGACAUGGACCAAAGAUAAACGUCUUCUUGAACCUUAUCAGACUAAGGAUAUCGUUAUAAUGAAUAAUGGUUCUCUACUUUUUACUCGCGUUAACGAAAAUCAUCAGGGAAAGUACACAUGUACGCCUUAUAAUGCUCAUGGAACACAAGGUGGAUCAGGACCUAUGGAGGUUUUAGUGAGAAAUCCCCCGGUAUUUACAUUGGAGCCCGAACCGAUGUAUCAAAGGAAAAUCGGUGAAAAUGUUGAAAUGGCUUGUGAUGCUCAAGAAGCUGAAGGAACAGAAAAGCCAACGAUUCAAUGGCAAAGGGCGAAUGGCGCGCCCUUGGAACGCAAUAGAGCAAAAAUGGUGGGUGGUAAUCUGACGAUAGAAGGCUUACGUCGAAAUGAUUUUGGUUAUUAUCAAUGUGUUGCUUCUAAUGAAGUAGCAGUUAUUCUUUCAUCGACUCAAUUAAUCGUGGAAGGAUCUCAGCCACAUGCGCCUUACAAUGUCACUGGUACCGCCUCGCAAUUUUCAGUGACACUUCAUUGGCUUCCAGGUUACUCUGGAGGUCCCGAUUAUAAGCAAGAUUAUACGAUUUGGUAUCGUGAAGCCGGCACAUCAACUUGGAGAACUCCUAUACCAGUUACUCCAUCCGGUAGUACAUCAGUGACGAUCAAUAGUUUAUCACCAGGAACCUUAUAUGAAUUUCAGGUCGUUGGUAAAAAUGCUAUCAGCGACAAUAUGACCAGUAAAAUAACAACAAUAAAAACGCUCGGUAAAAUUAAUUCUUCACCCCGACGGACACGUAAUUACGACGUUGGCAUCUCACCUCCAGCAACUACCCCUAUAAAUACUGGAGGCAUCACAUCCGAUCAAAACGCUGGACCAAGACCUGGGCCUCCAAGAAAUUUAACGGUUACGGAAAUAAGCAAUGGUUUUUUAAUCACUUGGCAGCAGCCUUUGGAGAAAAGUCAUCUUAUCCAGUACUAUGAUAUUAAGUACAAAACUGAUGGACCUUAUAGAACUCUUAAUAAAGGACAAAUUCGACCUGAAGAAACUAGUUAUCUUGUUAAGAAUCUUGUCGGUGGAAGAACAUAUUAUUUUAGAGUAUUUGCACACGCAGCGACGACUCAUAGCUCGAGUGAUGAGGUAAAAUUCCCAGUGCCAGCUCGCGUCAAGCACAAGGCUAUCACUGCCGGAGUUGUAGGUGGUAUACUAUUCUUCAUUGUCGCAAUAAUCCUCAGUAUAUGUGCAGUUAAAAUAUGUAAUAAGCGGAAACGGCGAAAACAAGAAAAAGAACUGAUUUCAGCAUACAAUCUGGUAGCCUGCAGGCCGACAGAUGCUCGCAAUGGGGCUGGCCAAGUGCCCCCGGGAACAGUGCCUUUGAAAAAGUCGACAAACUUAAACGCGUGCGGCGAGUCAGUGUCGACGCUGACCCGUUGCAGCCCGCUGAACCCGCAACCACAACCUCAUCAUCAACCACUUCCUACGCAAGUAACCCCCGUGACAGUCACCUCGGAGCAGGUCCACGAGGCACCCUCGAAUCGUGACCGUGACCACCAUGCACUACAUCUCGAUAAUCGAGAUUACGAGAGCGUGUUUAUCAUAGAGAGGCGGAACAGUAAGCCCAAUCUCCGCUAACCAGACCAAUUAAAGUUUCAACCCGGACCGCAGAUAAACGCAGUCACACCACCUUACAGUGAUUUACCAUCUAGCAUGACCGACCAAUUGAUUUAUUGACUGAUUUUGUUUAACUAUUCAAUGAUAGAGUGCAUAACUAAUGAACAAUGUACGGACGAACUAAGAAAAGAUAAAAGAUAUAUUAAAUUAUUAUCAACACUCCGCUCUGCAAUGUUUACUACCUCUGCUAAUUAAUAGGACCUACUAAUCUACCAUCGAUACCUACUGUCUACUACUUAGUCAUGAGAUGAUUGUCAUGAGUGAUAACUCGAACUAUAGAUGUCAGAUGAACAUUCAGGCAAUACAGGCAAAACUAGGACUCAUUAGUUCUUCCAGUCAGUACCCAGAGCUUAUCUUCGCUCGGCGGCCUAGGGAUUUCUCAAUUUUAGACGAUCAAUAAAAAUGAAAUACACUCAUACACCGCACUAAAUAAAAAUCUAGAAAAAGCCGAGUACCAG